GUAAUAGUUUGAGAGAGUCUAUCAAAUUUUUAAACAUGCUUAUCUCUUAACCCGUAUUGUAUUUCUAAGGUAUUUCCAGGGCUCUUUUACAACCUGCUCAUACAAAUGUGAAAAUGUCAUGUUGAAGAAUGUUCACUGCAUCAUUAAAAUAGUGAAAAAGUGGAGAGAAAGGUAAAUAUUGUAUUGACAGGAGGACUUCCUAAGUAUAAUGUACUAUGAAAUACCACCCACAAGUUGAUUUAAAUGACAUGGUAUGUUAUGCUUGAUAUUUUUUCUCUCUCAUCCUAAUGAGGGUGAAAAAAGCAAAUUGCAGGACAGCAUGUAUCAUAUAUUCCUAUCUCUGGCAUGAUAAUACUAAAAUGCUAUAGAGUCGUAUAAUUCCUUUAUGUAUUUUGAAUAUUAGCCCCUUAGAUAUUUGAUUGGCAAAUAUUUUCUCUGAUUCAGUUGGUUUCCUUUUCACUUUGUUUCCUUUGCUCUGCAGUAGCUUUUUAGUUUGAGGUAUUCCCACUUAUUUAUUUUUGCUUUUGUUGCUUUUGCUUUUGGUGUUAAAUUAAAAAAAAAUUAUAUACAACACCUAUGUCAAGGAGCUUUCUAUCUAUAUUUUCCUCUAGGAGUUUUAUGGUUUCAGGUCUUAUGUUCAAGUCUUUAAUCCAUUUUGAGGUAAUUUUUGUUGUGUGAUGUAAGACAGUGGUCCAUUUUCUUCUUUUGCCUGUGGCUGUCCAAUUUCCCUAUACCGUAUAUUCAAGACACUGUUCUUUCCCUAUUAUAUAACCUUGGUUGUUUUGUCACAAAUUAAUUGACUAUAUAUGUGUGGGCUUAUUUCUGGGCUCUCUAUUCUGUUCCAUUGAUCUGUGUCUAUUUUAAUGUCAGUACCAUACUUUUUAAGUUCCUGUAGUUUUGUGAUGUAGUUUGAAAGCAGGGAGUGAUACCCCCAGCUUUGUUCUUCUUUCUCAAGACUACUUUGGCUAUUCAUGAUCUUUUGUGGUUCCAUAGAAAUGUUGGAAUUGUUUGUUAAAUUUCUGUGAAAAAUGCCAUUGGGACUUUGAUAGGGAUUAUAUUUAAUCUAUAUAUUGCUUUGGGUAGUAUGGUCAUUUUAACAGAAUUAAUUCUUCCAAUCCACAAACAUGGGAUAUCUUUCCAUUCACUUCUGUCUUGCACUUCUUUCAUUAAUGUCUUAUAGUUUAAGUAUACAAGCCUUUUACCUCUUUGGUUAAAUUUAUUUAUUAUUAUUCUUUACCAGCUAAAUUUGAAGGCUUUUUCCCAAUUGAUCUUCCUGGGUGAAAAAUGAAAAACACUUAGAAAAAUUCCAGGAAAUUACCUUAUCCUUAUUAUUUACAAAUUAAUCAGAAAAAAAAUACAAUCUUUUCCCUUUCACACUCUUCAUAUUUGGUUUAGAAAAUAGGGUCAGAAGUCACAUAUUAUGUAUAGAAUUAAUUUUAUUUUGCUUGAAAUUUGCAAUUAGCUUCCUGUUGACAUGUGUCUCUGACUCCUAACUGAACUGACAAGUCAAGAAAUGUGUUUUCUGAGUUUGGAUUUAUGAUACCAUUUUUCAUUGUCAAUAGUCCUGAUAUUCUUGCUGAUCGUUGGCCCAAAUCCUGAGAUCCUUUGGAACUCAGAGAGGUAGCAUGAGUCUUAUGAGGCACAUCUACUGAUUUGAAUUCCAUCCUCCAGGGGUUUUAUAGUUGAAGAAAGGGGUAUGCUAAUUACAUCAUCUGGGCAUGGAGAUGGACGAGCUGAGAAUGGGGUAAAAAAUUCACAAAAUUUUCUGAGAAAUUUGAUGCUUUUGCCAAGGUAGAAUGAGAAGAGGCCUUUAAAAGUGUCAAAUUCUUUUGAGAUGAUCUGAUAGGUGGAUUGAAAUAUUUGCUCUUGUGGGACGUUUGGAGGAGUUAGGGAGGUGAGAUGUCAUUGGGCAGAAGGGUAGAGAGAAGGGGGAGCUUCUGUAGGGUGGAGAACUGGGGUUUCCAGUGUGCAGCCUCCAUUCUCAGGGUGGGAGAGCAGAGGAGGAAAGGAAGCAGUGGGCACCCAAGGCCCACUGGCCUUUUCUCUAUUUACUCAUGCUGCCUCUGGCACAGGUUUGCUGUGGGUUUUCAGUUCCUGGACUGAACCAUUCAGGAUGGAAGGUUUUCUCCUUACUCCUUGAGGUUGAAAAUACAGCUUCCACAGCCUCUUUGUUUUGUCACCUUAAUAGUCAAAAGCUCUGACCUAUGCUUCUAAUCUGUGUUUUCUGGGGAAUCUGAGAGGCAAGGCUUUGGAGCCAGACUGCCUGGGUUUAACUCCCAGCUCUACCACUUCCUGCCGUGUGACCUUAGGCAAGUUGCUUAACCACUGUGUAUUAAUAAUGGUACCUCCUUAUCGAGAUUUUUUAUGAAGAUUAAAUUAGUUGUUGGGCAUAUAUUACAUGUUCAGUAAAUGUCAGGGGGGGAAAGUCUCUCCUGAGCAGAGCACAAGUAUUAUGUCAUGUGAGGUCAAUGUCAGGGUUGUGUAGCCUCAUUCCCUUCUCAUUCCAUGUCAAGUAGCCUCUGAAGACACUGCUCAGUGAUCCCCAUGGGGAGUGGAGCCAGCACCAGGGCCUGCAUUCCCUGGAAAGACCACUGGAAAGCAAGAAUAGUUACCAAAGAAAAGAUAUGCAUUGUAUGUUGAAAAUCUUUCCUUUUCAUAACUGGAAAACAAAUCUAUGAAUUUUUCAGUAAAAGAGGUGACAUAAAAAAGCUAUUGUGAGGAGUCCCUAUCAUGAUUCAGUGGGUUAGGAACUUGACUAUUCUCUGUGAGGAUAAGGGUUCAAUCCCUGGCCUCCCACAGUGGGUUAAGGAUCUGGUAUUGCUGCAAACUGCAGUGUAGAUCAAAGAUGUGACUCAGAUCCUCAGGGGCAGUGCCUGUGGCAGCUUCAGCUUCCAUUUAACCCCUAGGCAGGGAACAUCCAUAUGCUGCAGGUGUGGCCUGAAAAGGGGAAAAAAAAAGCAUUAUUGUCCUAAGUGAAAAAGGAAUUAAAAGCAUGUGCAUUCUGUUUUUGAAGAGUGCUAUUUGAGAGCAGGUGUGGCAAGUGCCAUGCAGUACACAUACGGAAACUGAUGACUGAUUUGAGGUUUGGAGGGUGGGCAGUGUGGCCUGGGCAAGAUGGGGGCUGGGUAUGGGACCAGUAUUGCAGGACUGUGAUGCUGGGAGAGGAAGCUAUGAAAACCCAAAACAGAAAUGAGUGCCCAAAAGCCCAUUAGUAAUAAACUGACUCCUAAUGGCCUGAUGAUUUUGUUAAUGAACAGUAGUAAGAUAUGCAAACAGCUCAUUUUUCUUAAGCUUGACUUUCCUUCUCUAAGGAACCUGACCACUUCAAGGCUUUCUUUUCUGAACCUUCUUAAAGGACAGAAUUCAAAAGAAUACCUUUAAUUCUAGUCUUAGAAUCUUGGCCUUGUGUCAGAAACAAUUGAUUUUCUACUAUUGUUAGGUCAAAAAUUAUAUCCCUUAGUGACAGAUUAUGUAUAUAAAGUUUAUUAUACAACUGAACUUUCCCAGGGAUCCCUAAUGAGUCAUGGUCUAUUCUUCAGUGUUUUCCUCAGUAGCGUUGAGGGUUGGGGGAGAUCCUGCAACUCCGUAGGCCUCUUGAGACCUGAGAAGUAUUCAUUUCAUCACCUCCUGAACUGUGAAAAUCCCCUGCUCUGAGUUAGUGUGAUUGGAGGAGAACCUACCCCAUAAGCUCCACAUAUAAUUACUACAUUCAACAAACAUGAAGGUCACUCUGUAAGAUCGCCAUAACAUUGUACACCCUUUCUCUCACUUUCUGUGCAUGUCCCACUGGGGACCUGGGACAGGUUUUGCAGAUAGACCCUGGGCCAUGGACCACCACUUUGAGUAGCACAGGCUGGAGAGUGUUGAGAAAAAUAAAUCGUCAUCCACAACUUGGACCCAGCCUGGGACCAUCUCAGAACCACCGCAACAUGUGUGUAGUUAGUGCUCUGUUCAAUGAACAUCUCAGAAAGAUUGUGUGUUGGAAAAUAAUCUAUUGUGAGGGACACAAAAUCCACCUCCAGAUUUCAGUCAACUCACUGCUCUGUACGUCAUCCAUGGAUCAAACACAUUGUUAGUGAUCCUCCAUCAUUACUGUUUCUGAAUGUGAAAAUGCCUAUUUCUGGAGCUGUGAGGGCAGUCUGAAAAGCAGAACU
rnacentral:lncRNA from 1 species